rnacentral:rRNA from 1 species
GAUGAACGCUGGCGGCGUGCCUAAUACAUGCAAGUCGAGCGAACGGACGAGAAGCUUGCUUUUCUGAUGUUAGCGGCGGACGGGUGAGUAACACGUGGAUAACCUACCUAUAAGACUGGGAUAACUUCGGGAAACCGGAGCUAAUACCGGAUAAUAUUUUGAACCGCAUGGUUCAAAAGUGAAAGACGGUCUUGCUGUCACUUAUAGAUGGACCCGCGCUGCAUUAGCUAGUUGGUAAGGUAACGGCUUACCAAGGCAACGAUGCAUAGCCGACCUGAGAGGGUGAUCGGCCACACUGGAACUGAGACACGGUCCAGACUCCUACGGGAGGCAGCAGUAGGGAAUCUUCCGCAAUGGGCGAAAGCCUGACGGAGCAACGCCGCGUGAGUGAUGAAGGUCUUCGGAUCGUAAAACUCUGUUAUUAGGGAAGAACAUAUGUGUAAGUAACUGUGCACAUCUUGACGGUACCUAAUCAGAAAGCCACGGCUAACUACGU